rnacentral:misc_RNA from 1 species
GCGGCUGGGGCGCGAGAGUGCUCCCAGACGAUUAUGGGGUUCUCAGGGUAGAGGGAGGCGUCAAGCGCGAUGGAGACGCGCUUGAAGAAGGAAGAGAAUUUGGGGUACAUCGGGUUGGGUUUCGGCGGGGCAGUGGGGUCGGUGGUGUCAGGGCCAUCGUCGAGGAUGCGGCCGAUGAUUUUGAGGGACCAGGUCGGGGGGUCGGGCUUGGAGCCGCGGGGGAGGGACUGGUUGGCGAAGGUGUUGAAGACGUAAAUGCGGAGGGUGCGCUGGAGGGUUGGGGGGGCUUUGACUGACUCCUGGAU